UUUGGCCUACCAGACACGCCGCCAGGACCAGAAACCUUAACUCCAUAUUUAUUCAUUGUCUGAUGGAAAUAAAGGAGAAACAAGGUGUGAACACACUGAGAGCUGCUUCCUGCUGGAGCUGAAAACAACACUGAGAGUGAACCAGCCUGAAUCAAGCCUGUGAUAAUCUGCUUCCCAGCAUGCUGCUGGACAUCUCAUCAUCCCACACUUCUCCCAAAACCCCAUGAGGCCCGAAU